GCCCUGAGAGGGUGACAGGCCACACUGGCACUGAGACACGGCCCAGCGUCCUACGGUAGGCAGCAGUGGGGAAUAUUGCACUAUGGGCGAAAGCCUGAUGCAGCGACGCCGCGUGAGGGAUGACGGCCUUCGGGUUGUAAACCUCUUUCAGUAGGGAAGAAGCGAAAGUGACGGUACCUGCAGAAGAAGCGCCGGCUAACUACGUGCCAGCAGCCGCGGUAAUACGUAGGGCGCAAGCGUUAUCCGUAAUUAUUGGGCGUAAAGAGCUCGUAGGCGGUUUGUCGCGUCUUCUGUGAAAGGCCAGGGCUCAACCCUGGUUCUGCAGUGGGUACGGGCAGACUUGAGUGAUGUAGG
rnacentral:rRNA from 1 species